GGCACUCACAAGCCUUUCGGGUUAAUCCAUGAUAAAAGGUCUGCAUAAGUAACCAUCUGGCCAUUCCAUGGUGAGGACAAUCUGAUAUUGUCGGUGUUUUUUCCCCGGGGGGGGGUCACACCAACGAGUAAAUUUGUAUGCGUGCUCCCCUUUCCGGAUGGUGAUGCAAGAAGACACAGAGAUUUAUCCUGGUUCGGGCAAGAGAAGGCCCUACGUCCAGCGGGG
rnacentral:lncRNA from 1 species